rnacentral:rRNA from 1 species
CCUACGGGGGGCAGCAGUGGGGAAUAUUGGGCAAUGGGCGCAAGCCUGACCCAGCAACGCCGCGUGAAGGAAGAAGGCCUUCGGGUUGUAAACUUCUUUUCUCAAGGACGAAGAAAGUGACGGUACCUGAUGAAUAAGCCACGGCUAACUACGUGCCAGCAGCCGCGGUAAUACGUAGGUGGCAAGCGUUAUCCGGAUUUACUGGGUGUAAAGGGCGUGUAGGCGGGAGUGCAAGUCAGAUGUGAAAACCAAGGGCUCAACCCUGGGCCUGCAUUUGAAACUGUGGUUCUUGAGUGCUGGAGAGGCAGUCGGAAUGCCGGGUGUAGCGGUGAAAUGCGUAGAUAUACGGAGGAACACCAGUGGCGAAGGCGGAUUGCUGGACAAUAACUGACGCUGAGGCGCGAAAGCGUGGGGAGCAAACAGGAUUAGAUACCCUGGUAGUC